rnacentral:lncRNA from 1 species
UAUCCUAGAACAUUGGCUCAUUGGUGUGGUUCGAGUCUCACGUGUGGCUGGAGUGUUAGAAGGACGCUUGCGGGGGGAGUGCGCUCCUCAUGCGGCUUGCGGGUCCGUCCCGAAGGCGCGUGCUUGGGAGUAGCUAACCCGCAAGCGGAGUGGCCCGCCGUUGGUACUUGGCCCCAGGUUGCACUGCGGGUCCGUCCCGGGUCCCUGGUCUUGUUAAGUGGGUAGCGCGCGAGUCCCCGGCAACACAAGCCAUAACACACGGAGACCAGAAGAUCCACCCAGCGAGUCAAUCCCAGGAACAAGUACCAAGUAGAACCAGAAAACGAAAUUUAUAAAAGUAGCGAACGACUACAUGGACUAAUAAAACAUUAAUUGUUCAACGGCGCCAAGCGCGACACUUACAGGGAACAAAAGCAAAGAAAAAAAAAGAAAACGAGGACUAGCAGGGGGCAGCGGCGACUAGUUGCCGGGGUCUUCCGCUGUGGGCUCUGGCUUCCUCUGCAUCAGGUCCACCACCUCGUCGACGAACCUGCCUACUGCCUUGCUGUGGGAGGGGCCGUCCUCGCUGUCCGACCAGGCGUCCAGCAGCGCUUCGAAGGGGAAGUCGGGGUGAUAGUAGUGCACCCGGGGGAGGAUCGUCUCGGCGAUCUCCCUGGCGCAUGAAGCUAUCUCCCCGUCGCAGCUUGG